UCUAGCUCAGUUGGUUAGAGCAUCCGGCUCAUAACCGGGCGGUCGAAGGUUCGAGUCCUUCGAG
rnacentral:tRNA from 2 species